GCGUGCCUAAUACAUGCAAGUCGAGCGGAACCAUUGGAGCUUGCUCCUUUGGUUUAGCGGCGGACGGGUGAGUAACACGUGGGCAACCUGCCCUGCAGAUCGGGAUAACUCCGGGAAACCGGUGCUAAUACCGAAUAGUUUGCGGCCUCUCAUGAGGCUGCACGGAAAGACGGUUUCGGCUGUCACUGCAGGAUGGGCCCGCGGCGCAUUAGCUAGUUGGUGGGGUAACGGCCUACCAAGGCGACGAUGCGUAGCCGACCUGAGAGGGUGAUCGGCCACACUGGGACUGAGACACGGCCCAGACUCCUACGGGAGGCAGCAGUAGGGAAUCUUCCGCAAUGGACGAAAGUCUGACGGAGCAACGCCGCGUGAGUGAAGAAGGUUUUCGGAUCGUAAAACUCUGUUGUGAGGGAAGAACAAGUAUCAACUAACUAUUGGUACCUUGACGGUACCUCACCAGAAAGCCACGGCUAACUACGUGCCAGCAGCCGCGGUAAUAC
rnacentral:rRNA from 1 species